GGGGGCGCGGGCGGGCGCGGCAUCCCGGACCGGAUAGCGGCGGAGCGGAGCCGGAGGCCGAGCGCGCGCGCGCCCCGCCCGUCGGCACUCCCGGGGCGGGCCGGGGAGGUGUCCACAACGGCGGCGCGCUGCCCUUCCCCCACACCGCCCCCAGCUUCUGCCGCGUCCUGGAGGGGCCGGGGAGGGGAACCCCCGAAAGUCUCACUAGGGAGUUUUUGCUCCCGGGUCCCUGGGGACAGGGACAAGUGACCUCAGCAGUCUCCGGGGCCCUAGUCGCUCCCUCCGCCCCCCCUAAACUGAGAUCACACUCGAGAGCACCCGAAUGAAGGGUUUUAGAACUGUAACUGAAGUUUGCCUAAAGAUGCUUGCGAUCCCUGAUGCAACCGCGUCCCUUUUUGGAGUCAUUUAUUCACUCAACAAACAGCCAGCUCAAAUACCCCGGAACCCACGCUGGACACCAGCCUAAGGGCGGCAAACACCGCCUUGCCCUUCAAACCGCUGACCGGCUGGCUCAUCAGGGAGGCAGAUGCCCGGCCAGUGGGGUAUUGGGGCUCGGGCCCCUUUAGUGCCUCAGUGUGCUGGUCAUGCCUUCCGCAUUCAGCCGGGUCCCCUAAGAAAAGUGGCAGCGUCUCCACGUUUCCAUCAUUUACCCAGACCCUCCCUGGUGGAGCUGACGUGUGCGUGGGAGCUGCAGACCCGAGUCAGGUCUUUUUGAGGACAAGAGGUACACAUGUACCUCCAGGCCCCUCCGCCUGCCCUUCAUACGAAACGUGAAGACUGACGCACAGGCUGACAAAGCUAUACGAGUCUUUUCCCAAGGAGCAAGAGCCUGCAUGGGGAUGACACCGGGAGCUCGCAGGGCUGAUGCCCAGUGACCUUGCCAAGUCCAGACACUCCCUCGGUUGCAAUCCCUUCCUCCAACAGCAAACCACUGGAUAUAUGGACAGCUUCAGCAGAGAGCGCAAGAAAAGGGCCAAUAAAAGACCACUGAAGAACCAAAAUACAGGACACUGGAUUCUUCUCUCACUCCGUCCGGGUCUAGAGGGCUUGCUGAAGCUGCUUCACAAAGCAUGCCCUCGAAAAAGCAGCAGUGAACGGCUUGCCAGGGAGAACCUCGCCUACCUUUUGGAUCCUGCAACACCCAGGCUCUUACCCGGAUAGAAGCCUCUGGAGCGGGCUGCAGAAACAGAAAGGAACAGAAGUAACUCCAAGGCACUAAACCAUCAAGAAAAGAAGGCUGACUUGGGAGGUGACAAUUAAGGCUGUGUUGAAAAGAGGCAAUGAGCUAUCUGGAGGAAGAGCCCAUUACAAAAAGAGAGAAAGAAAGAAGGAAAAGACAAAACGUGGGGACAGAUUAUUUACCCAAGACGAUACACAGAUGACAGACAAGCACCUAAAAAGAGGCUCGACAUCGUUGCUCAUUAGGAGCGAGUUAAAGCAGCAAGGAGAUAUCACGAGACACCUAUUAAAAUUACUUAAAGGACGUGGUGAAACCAGCCGUCUUUGCCAACGAGGAGCAGUAGGCAGUGCCCGACAUGGCGGGCACCUGAGAAAACGGUCUGAUGGUUUCUCAUGAAGUUCAGCGGCCUGACCUGAGGGCUGGCAGUCCCAUCGCUAGGCUUUAAGCCAAGUGAAAUGAAAACUUGUGUUGACACGAGGACCUGUACACAGAUACUCACCACCAAACGCUGGAAACACCCCAGCCUCCCAGAUGAACCUCGGCCAGGAACGCAUAAACAAACCGCCGCACAGCCACGUGAUGGGAUUCGCCACAUCGACAAAAACGAGCAAAGUGCAGGCGCGUGGAACAACACGGAUGAACCCCGAACGCACUGGGUGUGCUUUCACGUACAGGACAUUGCGGGUGAAGCACAAUGAUGGAGACGCGAACAGAUGAGCGGGUCCAGGGGCUGGAGGUCUGGGGAAAGGCUGACCACAAAAUGAUGUGGGAAUUUGGCGGGAGGGUUGACUGUGGUGGCGAUUGUGUGACUCUGUGUAUCUGUCAAAAGUGGCAAAACUGUGCACUAAAAAAAGUGAGUUUUACUCUAUGUAAAUAGUACCUUUUUACAAAUCAAAACAAGAACUUUACAGAGCUUGCGUUUAUAGACCCCCCCCCAAACGAAGACUGAGAACCGUGUUGCCCAAUCCAGAAGCCGCGAACCACAACUGGCUGUCUAUGUGUAUCCUAAUUAAAAUGUAUAUUUUAUGUAUAUUCUAAUUAAAA